rnacentral:ribozyme from 1 species
UCUCGCGCGAGGACUUCACCGCGAGGAGCGAGGCGGCGGAGAACG